rnacentral:rRNA from 1 species
UACAGAGGUCUCGAGCGUUAGGCGGAAUCACUGGGCUUAAAGCGUGUGUAGGCGGAUCGUUAAGUACCUUGUGAAAUCCCACGGCUUAACCGUGGAACUGCUUGGUAUACUGGCGGUCUUGAGCCAGCUAGGGGCGACCGGAACAAAUGGUGGAGCGGUGAAAUGCGUAGAUAUCAUUUGGAACGCCGAAGGUGAAAACAGUCUGCUGGGGGCGUGCCGACGCUGAGACACGAAAGCCAGGGGAGCGAACGGG